rnacentral:misc_RNA from 1 species
GGGCUUAAUCCAAGGCGCCAUAUUGCAAUUCCUUUCUGGGUUGCAACAGCUAUUACCUCAUAUGGCCUUCCAAUAUUUUGCGCCCACGCAACAGCAUAAACCUCGUCACCUUUGUCUGCAGUCAAAGCCAACUCUGCUACAGGAAGCCAUCUUUGGUGAGCCUGAUCAAAUUCCCAAACCUUGGCGGAAUUAAGCUGUGGUGUAUUCGAACUAAAAGCCAAAACAAAGCUUGAUUGUUG